rnacentral:rRNA from 1 species
ACGAACGCUGGCGGCACGCUUAACACAUGCAAGUCGAACGAGAGAAGAGGAGCUUGCUUUUCUGAUCUAGUGGCGGACGGGUGAGUAACACGUGAGCAAUCUGCCUUUCAGAGGGGGAUACCGAUUGGAAACGAUCGUUAAUACCGCAUAACAUAAUUGAACCGCAUGAUUUGAUUAUCAAAGAUUUAUCGCUGAAAGAUGAGCUCGCGUCUGAUUAGCUAGUUGGUAAGGUAACGGCUUACCAAGGCGACGAUCAGUAGCCGGACUGAGAGGUUGAUCGGCCACAUUGGGACUGAGACACGGCCCAGACUCCUACGGGAGGCAGCAGUGGGGAAUAUUGCACAAUGGAGGAAACUCUGAUGCAGCGAUGCCGCGUGAGGGAAGAAGGUUUUAGGAUUGUAAACCUCUGUCUUCAGGGACGAAAAAAGACGGUACCUGAGGAGGAAGCUCCGGCUAACUACGUGCCAGCAGCCGCGGUAAUACGUAGGGAGCGAGCGUUGUCCGGAAUUACUGGGUGUAAAGGGAGCGUAGGCGGGAUCGCAAGUCAGAUGUGAAAACUAUGGGCUUAACCCAUAAACUGCAUUUGAAACUGUGGUUCUUGAGUGAAGUAGAGGUAAGCGGAAUUCCUAGUGUAGCGGUGAAAUGCGUAGAUAUUAGGAGGAACAUCAGUGGCGAAGGCGGCUUACUGGGCUUUAACUGACGCUGAGGCUCGAAAGCGUGGGGAGCAAACAGGAUUAGAUACCCUGGUAGUCCACGCCGUAAACGAUGAUUACUAGGUGUGGGGGGGCUGACCCCUUCCGUGCCGCAGCAAACGCAAUAAGUAAUCCACCUGGGGAGUACGACCGCAAGGUUGAAACUCAAAGGAAUUGACGGGGGCCCGCACAAGCAGUGGAGUAUGUGGAUUAAUUCGAAGCAACGCGAAGAACCUUACCAGGUCUUGACAUCGUAUGCAUAGCUCAGAGAUGAGUGAAAUCUCUUCGGAGACAUAUAGACAGGUGGUGCAUGGUUGUCGUCAGCUCGUGUCGUGAGAUGUUGGGUUAAGUCCCGCAACGAGCGCAACCCUUACUGUUAGUUGCUACGCAAGAGCACUCUAGCAGGACUGCCGUUGACAAAACGGAGGAAGGUGGGGAUGACGUCAAAUCAUCAUGCCCCUUAUGACCUGGGCCUCACACGUACUACAAUGGCUGUCAACAGAGGGAAGCAAAGCCGCGAGGUGGAGCAAACCCCUAAAAGCAGUCUUAGUUCGGAUUGUAGGCUGCAACCCGCCUACAUGAAGUCGGAAUUGCUAGUAAUCGCAGAUCAGCAUGCUGCGGUGAAUACGUUCCCGGGCCUUGUACACACCGCCCGUCACGCCAUGGGAGUCGGUAACACCCGAAGCCUGUAGUCUAACCGCAAGGAGGACGCAGUCGAAGGUGGGAUUGAUGACUGGGGUG